GAUGUACGCUGGCGGCGUGCCUAAUACAUGCAAGUCGAGCGAACAGACGAGGAGCUUGCUCCUCUGACGUUAGCGGCGGACGGGUGAGUAACACGUGGAUAACCUACCUAUAAGACUGGGAUAACUUCGGGAAACCGGAGCUAAUACCGGAUAAUAUAUUGAACCGCAUGGUUCAAUAGUGAAAGACGGUUUUGCUGUCACUUAUAGAUGGAUCCGCGCCGCAUUAGCUAGUUGGUAAGGUAACAGCUUACCAAGGCAACGAUGCGUAGCCGACCUGAGAGGGUGGUCGGCCAAAAGGGAACUGAGACACGGUCCAGACUCCUACGGGAGGCAGCAGUAGGGAAUCUUCCGCAAGGGGCGAAAGCCUGACGGAGCAACGCCGCGUGAGUGAUGAAGGUCUUCGGAUCGUAAAACUCUGUUAUUAGGGAAGAACAAAUGUGUAAGUAACUAUGCACGUCUUGACGGUACCUAAUCAGAAAGCCACGGCUAACUACGUG
rnacentral:rRNA from 1 species